CCUACGGGAGGCAGCAGUGGGGAAUAUUGCGCAAUGGGCGAAAGCCUGACGCAGCGACGCCGCGUGAGGGAUGAAGGUCUUCGGAUCGUAAAACUCUGUCAGCAGGGAAGAACGGUCACUGUGCUAAUCAGCAGUGAAUUGACGGUAACUGCAAAGGAAGCACCGGCUAACUCCGUGCCAGCAGCCGCGGUAAUACGGAGGGUGCGAGCGUUAAUCGGAAUUACUGGGCGUAAAGCGCUCGUAGGCGGUAUGUCAAGUCAAGGGUGAAAUCCCCGGGCUCAACGGGGGAACUGCCUUUGAAACUGGGUAACUUGAGUGUUUUAGGGGAGAGUGGAAUUCCAGGGGGAGGGGUGAAAUCCGUAGAUAUCUGGAGGAACAACAGAGGCGAAGGCGACUAUCUGGCACAUAACUGACGCUGAUGGGCGAAAGCGUGGGUAGCAAACAGGAUUAGAUACCCUGGUAGUC
rnacentral:rRNA from 1 species